rnacentral:rRNA from 1 species
UACGUAGGGGGCUAGCGUUGUCCGGAAUCAUUGGGCGUAAAGCGCGCGUAGGCGGCCCGGUAAGUCCGCUGUGAAAGUCAAAGGCUCAACCUUUGAAUGUCAGCGGAUACUGCCGGGCUAGAGUCCGGAAGAGGCGAGUGGAACUCCUGGUGUAGCGGUGGAAUGCGCAGAUAUCAGGAGGAACACCGAUGGCGAAGGCAGCUCGCUGGGACGGUACUGACGCUGAGGAGCGAAAGCGUGGGGAGCGAACAGG